rnacentral:rRNA from 1 species
AGCAGCCGCGGUAAUUCCAGCUCCAAUAGCGUAUAUUAAAGUUGUUGCAGUUAAAAAGCUCGUAGUUGAAUUUCGGGGUCAGUAGGCUGGUCGUGCCACUGGUAUGCACUGGUCUCACUGAUUCCUCCUUCCUGAUGAACCGUAAUGCCAUUAAUUUGGUGUUGCGGGGAAUCUGGACUGUUACUUUGAAAAAAUUAGAGUGUUUAAAGCAGGCUAACGCUUGAAUACAUUAGCAUGGAAUAAUGAAAUAGGACGAUCGAUCCUAUUUUGUUGGUUUCUAGGAUUGACGUAAUGAUUAAUAGGGAUAGUUGGGGGCAUUAGUAUUCAAUUGUCAGAGGUGAAAUUCUUGGAUUUAUUGAAGACUAACUACUGCGAAAGCAUUUGCCAAGGAUGUUUUCAUUAAUCAAGAACGAAAGUUAGGGGAUCGAAGACGAUCAGAUACCGUCGUAGUCUUAACCAUAAACUAUGCCGACU